rnacentral:rRNA from 1 species
AAUCAACGCUGGCGGCGUGCCUCAGACAUGCAAGUCGAACGAUUAAGACUUCCUUCGGGAAGUGUAUAAAGUGGCGCACGGGUGAGUAACACGUAAGUAAUCUGCCUUCGAGUGGGGAAUACCUUCGGGAAACCGAAGAUAAUACCGCAUAAUGCAGCGGCACCGCAAGGUGACAGUUGUUAAAGGAGCAAUCCGCUUGAAGAGGAGCUUGCGGCAGAUUAGCUAGUUGGUAAGGUAACGGCUUACCAAGGCUACGAUCUGUAUCCGGUCUAAGA